GGGCUGGUGGCGGUGACAGGCGUGAAGGUGCUGGGCUGGAGGCUGCUGAACAUCUGCUGUUCUCCAGGUCACCUCCAUCUCCACCGAGGGCCACAAAAGCCCUGCCCAGAGCAGGAGCUAAAGCUACAAUCCAGGGUGCACAGAUCCGGGCUCACGCACAUCCAAGACAUGCUCCUUACUUAGAAGAUGAUUUCCAGCUGGAUCAGUUCCUGAGCCUGAAUCACAAGGAAUACUGGGAUAAACAGCUGAGACUUCAGUGAAUGAGAAGGAGAGGGUAAGGAACCACCCCUGGUUCUGCUGCCCAAUGCACCAUGGCCACUUGCCCUGGGCCUCCCUCCUGCCUUGCUUUGGGCAUCACAUCCAGGAGCAUCAAUGGCUUUCGUGUACAGAAAGCAGGUGAGAAAGUACCUUGCUCAAGCUUCCCUCCCUCCUCCCGGGCACUAAAGGAAGCUAGAUACUGGAGGAGACCAAAAAUCACAUGCCCACCCUGCCUGAUCUCUCCUGAGAUCCAGGGGCCGGAUGGAUUCUGCGUUUCAAGUCAGCACUGGCUGAGGCUUGGAGGUGCCUGAGCAACCCAAAAGCACCAUGCCCAUAAGCACUGCUCAAACAGCUGUCCCCAGCCUAAGCCCCUGGGCAGCAGGGACACAGCAGAGUGAAGCCCAGGACCCAUCCUCUGGAGGAGCCCAGCAGCUGCCUGCAUCCCUGCUACCUUGUUACUGCUGGAGGAAUUGGAGUAUUUUGGCUCCUAAUCCUCCCCCAUCCACCCCCGGCUCCUUGGUGUCUGGCCUUGGCUGCAGAGCUCCUGGUUAACAGCAGCUCUGGAAGGCUUCUGGGUGAGGAGGUCAGCACAGGCAUUUGGGGUCACUUUAGGGUUACCCUGUUCUUUAUUUAGGCAAGAAAAAAUAAGCCUGCCUCUCUCUUCCCCUGGGCUGGAAGGAGGCAGAGGUAGGGGAGAGGGGACCGAGUGGAUUUGUGAAGAGUUGGUGUCUUUUUUUCCAGAUUAGGAUGCAUCUCACUCUGCCCUAGGAUGCAGGGGUUUGGGCUGAGGCCGUGUGUCCUGGGAAGGGCAAGGCUGCUUUGCCAUGGCCUCAGGCCAGGAGGUGGGCUGGGGGUGUCUGCUCCACACUGGGGCUGCAGGAAUGUCCCAGAGGGUGGAUAUGUCCCUUCCAUGCUGCACAUCUACCCCUGUUCCUGCCCUUGAUGUUUUCACAAAUGCCCUGUCUUAGCAGCAGCAAGGGAUAGUUUACCCUGGGAGGCAGAAGGUAAGCUCAUCCAGGAGCCCCUUAAAUCCCUGCAUUUGCUCCUGCUUGUGCUAUUUCCCAUGCCAUGCUCCAAACCACAAAGCUCUAGAUUAAUCUCCUUCCUAAAGCUGAGCCUACUGAGAACAGAUCCUCCCUGUGAUUUCCACUGUAUCAAGAAACCUCCGAGACCUUGGUGCACCAUGAUCCAAGUGAGUGAAAUAACUGCAGUUGCCUGUCUUGGCAGAGUUCAGCUGCCAGACCUGCUCCCUGCACAGCCAGGCUGGAGCAUGUAAAACAGGCAGGGUAACUUAUUUUUCCAGCUGUCUGCAGCUCACGAACUGUAGAACCCACACUAUGUUACACCUCCACACCUUGCCAAGGAGGUGCCAGUGUUCAUGGGAUCGUUGUGCUUCUUUUAAGACUCUGAGAACUGGAAGGAGUCCCUGACAGCAGUGGUUCUUCCACAGGAGUGUGUUAUCUGGGGCUGCUGGCAGGGACUAGGCUCCACUGGGGUCCCCAGCACUGUCACUCCAUCCCAAAGGUAGGAUGAUGGAAGCAAGACCUUUCCCAGCACCAGCUCUAUCUGAUGCCAUGAGUCUUCAUGGACCUAGACCUCCAUCUCCCAUCUGUCAGAGACCCUGGUCCCCUGCAGCAGCACUGCAGAUGCCCAAGUAUCCCAGAGCAGUGGACACCAGCCAGGAGCUGAACCCCGCUUUGGGGUAGGAAGGUGCUUGAGUUGCCUGGCCGGUCUGAAAUCAAUUUGUGUCUAUCUUUGAACCUGAUUCCUCUCUAAGCCUGUUUUGGCUUUACUUGUUUGGAAUAGACCCGAUCCUAAAGGGAAAAGCAGACAAACCAGACUAAACAUCAAAUAUUAAAUAGCAACUGCUAAUAUGACAGCCAUUAAACACAAGCGCUCUCCUGCCUCCGGAGCAGCUGGAAGUUGGGCUGCACACCCACCUCCGGCUCCCGGCGCUACCGAAAGUGAAGUCGGGCUGCACGUGUAGAUAUAUCACAUUGCUGGAAUGAAGGAGAAAUCCAGUUUCCUGCUGCCAAUCUUUCUGGCAUUCAGUCUUCUGCAUCUGCUUUUAGCUGGGGGUAGGAGGAGGCAAUGAACUUUCCCCUUACGAGAUGCAGGGAACGGGGAGCUCGUGGCUGCCCAGCUCACUGGCUCUGCAAAGGCAGAGCUUGGCAGGGAGGCUUCUCCCCUUGGCCUGCUGGAAAAUUAAAUCUUAUUUUGUUUUGAGAUGAAUCCAAGAGGCUUUGAAGUCCUGGGAGGGAUCUGCUGGCCAGGCAAAGCCUUCUCUCCCAGAAUUUCAAAGCCGUGGCGUUGGGAUAAAUCCAAGAAAAGGGCUCCUGUAUGGCCAGGGUGAAGUGGAGCAUUGGCAGAGAGCCCUAGCUCAGGCCCCUGGUUUGUCCAGCUGUGCUGGAGACCAGGGAGGUCGUAGGGGAAGAAACACCCCAAAGACAAACCCCCACCACGCCCCUAUUUGCUCGCCCGCUUGUGCCGCGCUUCGCUCCCAUCUCAGCUGACCCUUACACGGGUGAAAUUUCAGGAACAACUUGAGCAACUAUUAGUGUCCAAGAACCCCUCAUGGGUCUUGCUGUGCCGGGGACAGCAAAGGAAUGAGAGCCAUCCCAACAGCAUCCCUGAGCAAGAUCCCCCAUCACGUUGUCAGGGGGCACUUGCAGUCAUGGCACAGCGUGACCCUGGACCCUUCUCUUUAUCUGCCGUGCUCCUCCUCUUUCCUUGAGCCACUUCUUUAUCACAUUUCCAGCAUACCUUCCACUUGACUUAACACUAACAUAUGUACAGUCGACAUUUCAGUAAUGCCUUACAAAUUAGCUAGGGCUGAUUGAGAGAUUAUCUGCCGGUUCCAAGCUCUUCCCCCCCAGCACUGGCCCCCACCUUCCAGCUCUGAGCGGGCUGAAGUGGGGGUCUCUCCCGGGGAAGGGAGCUGGGGCCCCCUCCUGGUGUGCCCUUGACUUUCUGGGAAGCAUCUUUUUCUCCUUAGUUCCCCUCAUUAGCUGAAGGACUUGUUGGGGUGUUGCAGCCAGGCAGGCCUCUGCUGGGCACCACUCAGCUUUAUGGGGGAACCAGCAUCCCUGUGGAGGUAAAGGGGCCUUCCCAUGACCUUCAUCCCAAGAGAUGGAGCACCCCAUCUCUGGAAAGUGGCUCUUGCUGGCACAAGAAACAGGCAGCACUCAAGGGAGGGGGGACCUGUGCCAUGGCCAGAGGAGCAGAGACCCUUUGAGGCUGUGGGAAACUGUUCUUUUCUUCCCCAACAGACCCACUGCAGACCCUGCUCCAGCAGAUUUCUGCCUGCCUGGAGUAUUUGAGCUUAUAAACCAGAAGGUGGGAAGGCAGAUGGACUGUGUAUUUGUCCAAGAGCUUUUCUGAGAAAACCUUCUGUGGUUCAAACAUUGGGUUUUUGCUGGGUCUGCUUCCUCUGUCCCAGCAGUGCAGCCUUCUGGACAGUGAGGUUUAAAGUCCUCCUGGAGGCAUUCCCAUCAUCCAGCAAUUUCCCUAGCUAAGCAUUGUUAGGGUUUUCUUUGUUCUGAGCUUUUACAUUUCCUGCAGCCCUCUGGAGUUCCUGAGCAACAGCCACUCAGUGCUCUGUGCUGGAGCCUUGUUUCUGUGUCACUGAGCACCGGGAAGUGCUCUGAGGGUGCGUUUCUAUGCGAAAGGCUGUGAAAAAAAUGAGGGUAUGUUUUAUGAUGUUCCAGUGCAGAGGGGCCCUGCACUGACCACAGGGAGUUAUUAUGGCUGGGAGGAACCUCUAGCAGCUCACCUGCUCCAUUUUAUCCACCACGUCAGGUGGGUAAACCAUCCUUGUCAGAUGUGUGCUUAGCCUUAUCCUUUAGUAUCUCUGGGGAAAGCAAUUCAACAACCUCCCUGAGCAGCUAGUUCCACCCUCUGAACUCUAGUUAGAGUUAUAAAGGUUUCCUCUAAUGUUUAACUUUAAUUUUCUCUACUGCAACAUAACACCAUUAUUACUGGUUGGAGCUCCUUGAUGGCUCUUUUUCCCCUAAGCCCCCAUUUAGAAGAGACAGGGAAGGAGCUGGAUGAACUGACUUACAGCUCGGUUACAACACAGUUUCAGCCAAUUCCAUUUAAUAGGAGUUAAGGUAGGCAGAGUUUAUGGGAUCAUCUCGGGUUUUAAAUGGUUUUAGGCAACGCUCAAACGUCCUCUUGUGAAAUGAGCCUGGUGGCAGAGCUGGUGCCUCCUCCACCAGGAUCAGGGGGAUGAAGUGGGGGGGAUCUGGCAGUCAUGAGGAGGGUGGCCAGAAUCACCAGCUGGGCACAGGGAAGAGUCACAGUGGGGAAAUGGGGUCUCAAUGGGGGUUUUGGAGUUUUUUUAUUAUUAUUUUUUUUUUCCUUCCUUUCCCCCUUGCACCAUUUUGCAGCACCCCUUAACCACGGGCAUCCCCCCCUCCUGGCACCCAUUGAUGGGCACAGAUGGGAAAUGCAGGGCACAAGCACUCACACCCUACCUGGGGAGCAGGGAACUCCCCUCCAAACUUCCUUUUCCCCCUCUCCCCAGCCCUGCCUCCCUGCAGGGACGGGCAGGGGCAGGGGGCAGCAGUGGUGGGGCAGGGCUGCAUCUCCUGGGAAAGGCAUCAGAUGUGUCAGACGAGCUGUGAGAGCGGCUGGGCCACGAGGAUCAGCACGGAGCGGAGAGAGGAGACUGGAAUGCAAAGAGGAAACGACUACAUGGAAAUUCAAAACUCUCCCCAGAUGAAAAGCAGAGGGGAGGGGGGCUUUCUGGCAAGUGAAGUUGUAAAAAAAUAGUCCCUGGUUUUCUUUCUCGUUUCUAACUUUGUAAAUUGCACCAAGCUCUAGUUGCAUGACUGCAUCCCAUGUUCUCCACUGAAUCCAGCAUGUGUCUGCCAGGAAGAAGCCACCACCCUCCCAUCACUGCCAGCAGGACCAGCAGGAUUUGCACCUCUUCCUGCUCCAUCAGGCUAAGCUGCUCCUACAGGGCAACCACCUGUGCUGGACCUCCCUGGGUGGCUGAGCUGAAUCCACCAUGGCAGGUCAGGGUUGCAGGGCCCAUUUGUAAGCAAUUUACCUCAAGAAUUUGGCAGUGGAAGUUCAAGCAGCUUUGCUGGACGAGUAAGUCCUGCUGCAUGUUUCCCUGUCGCCUGUGGAUGAGCACAACUUGUUGAGUGAGCUCCGUGCUUGCUCUCCUGGCUCUGGCCACUUUACGAGAGCCUGGAGGGUCCUCGAGAGAGGGGGAGGUUUCCACACUGCUCUCGGGAUGGGGGAUGCAGAAUCCAGGCCCUCGGACCAGCAGAGAGUAGAGCCAGGGGCCAGGAUGCUCUGCAAGGACCAUGACAAGCUGUGAGCUCUGCAGGCAGAUGCAUCCCACUGCUUCCUCUCUGCCACCACCAUGCCAAGCUUCAUUUCUUCCUAAUCACAAAUAGGGGGGGGGGUGGGGGGAAAUAGUAAUAGAAAUAAGUUCCCUUGAACUUAUUACAAAGCAGUUUGGGGCAGGGAGGGGUAAGGAGUGCAGAAAGGGAAGAGAUGCUUCACCACAUGGGGUUGAUGUAAUUUCUUUUAGUUAGGAGCAGGAGAAACAGAGAAACCCAAUCCUGUUCCCUUCCCCUCGACAGAACAAAGGGAAAAGUCCCCAAGGGGAAACUUUAAAAAGUGAAACAAAAAUAAAACCCAACACACCAAAAAACAAACCUACAAAACAAGGGAGAGGAACCAAAAAAAAAAAAAAAAGAAGAAGAAAAAAAAAAAAGGAAAGACAAAAAAAUCCCCCCCCCCCUGAAGUGUCCCCUCUGUUGUGUAGAACAGCUUCUCUUCCCCCACUUCCCCAGCACCAGUCAGGCUUAGAGAGCCACAAAAUAAGAGUUCAUGGUGUGUUCAAUCGAUUACUCCCCCUAAUGCACUGUUUUUGGAGACAGGUAAUUUAUUUCAGACUCUACAUGUCUACAUGUAAAAAAAAAUAAUAAAAUACAAUAAAAUUUUAACCCCCC